AGUAAAGUAAGCUAAUUAAGCUGUUGGGUUCAUACCUCAAAAAUAGAAUUUAAUAAUUCUCUUUAUUA
rnacentral:tRNA from 1 species